rnacentral:lncRNA from 1 species
GGACAGCAUGCUCGCGACCCAGUAGGGGGCUCUGUGGAGUUCCAGUUUGUGCCGGUGCUCAAGCUUGUGUCUACCCUCCUGGUGAUGGGUGUCUUUAGCGACGAGGAUGUGAAGCAGAUCCUGAAGAUGAUAGAGCCUGAAGUCUUCACCGAGGAAGAAGAGGUGGAGGAGGAGGAAGAGGAGGAAGAGGAAGAUGAGGAGGAGAAAGAGGAGGACGAGGAGGAAGAGGCACACGAGAAGGAAGAUGAGGAAAAAGAAGAGGCAGAGGAGGCCGCAGAGGAGGAGAAGGAAGAGCUGGAGGAGGGGCUGCUGCAGAUGAAGUUGCCUGAGUCUGUGAAAUUACAGAUGUGCCACCUCCUGGAGUAUUUCUGUGACCAAGAGCUGCAGCACCGGGUGGAGUCCUUGGCAGCCUUUGCGGAGCGAUAUGUGGACAAGCUGCAGAGCAAUCAGCGGGGUCGCUACGGCCUCCUCAUGAAAGCCUUCACCAUGAGCGCGGCCGAGACUGCAAGGCGCACGCGGGAGUUCCGCUCUCCGCCCCAAGAGCAGAUCAACAUGCUAUUGCAAUUCAAAAAUGGUGCCGAUGAGGAAGAUUGUCCUCUCCCUGAAGAGAUCCGAGAGGAUUUAGUUAACUUUCACCAAGACCUGUUGGCACAUUGUGGAAUCCAGCUGGAGGGAGAGGAGGAGGAGCCAGAGGAAGAGAGCACUCUGGGCAGCCGCCUCAUGAGCCUGUUGGAGAAGGUGCGGCUGGUGAAGAAGAAAGAGGAGAAGCCUGAGGAGGAGCCGGCAGCUGAGGAGCACAAGCCUCAGUCCUUGCAGGAGCUGGUGUCGCACACAGUGGUGCGCUGGGCCCAGGAGGACUUCGUUCAGAGCCCAGAGCUGGUCCGAGCCAUGUUCAGCCUCCUGCACCGGCAGU